UUCUUUCCAGCUGGAGAAGCGCUUUUUGGUUCGGAGUGCGUGUGUGUGUCUGUGUGUCUGUGUGUCUGUGUGUCUGUCUCUGUGUGUGUGUCUGUGGGGGGUUUGUAGGUGUUCCGGCUGGGGCUCCGAAUUUUCGUCUGCAGACUCUACUUUUUCUGAAGACCUACAUGAUUUCUUCCCCUAGAAGGUAGCUUGUUGCUUUCUGGCAUAUACUUAUCUAACUCCCACCCCCGAAGAUAAAUGUUUCAAAAUACUGAGAAGACAUUACCACAAAAAUCGCUGUGCUGUCGGGAGGACUGGAGGAUGUGAGGGCUAGGGAAAUUCUUAAAAAUACGGCAACUGACAUGAAUGUUAGUUUCUGUAAAUAUAUAUGUUAAAUACGUAUAUAAUACAGAGUUCUGUGUAAGCUAGUAACAGGGAAAAAUAAUAAGGGGUCUUUUUGACAGGACUUUUAUUUGCAUCUCUUCUCCCUCUCUCUCUUACACAUCUUUCUGUUUGUCUCCUCUAUAUUCUGCUUUUAUUACAAGAAGUUUGUUAAUACGACAUGUCAACGUUGCUGGUUUCAGACUGCAGCACUUUUUUACAAAACCAGACUGAAAAAAUUUCCUCAAACCUCCACUUAAUGGCACAACUGGCUACCACGGCCAAGAACAAAGGGACUGGGAGACCUAAGAAAAUCUCAACAUAGAGAAGGAAGAGAACAGACUCAAGAAGAAAUUACAUGGUCCACAUUCUUACCUCUGCAGGAUCAGCUUUCAGUCUUGUCUGUGCAUCAAUGCAUGUGCACACAGGCACACCACAUAUGUCCUUUGAACUGCCUCUCAGAAGAUAUUGCUUAAACAGCCAAUUGUGCCAACAUAUCAUAUCAGUAACUCGACUAGUGCCAGGAGGGAAGAGUGAAGGACCGAGACAGAGGGGUAUUAUCAACAUAUACAUUUGAUUCCCUAUAAACCAACCAGGAACAUCUUCUUCAGUAAGAAUAAUGAAAUGUCAUCAUGCUAAGAGAUUUGGACCAGCUCUAUAAAUUAAACAGUACGUGAUGACAGCCUUGAGGCGGCAUAUUCUGAAUCUUCUUUGAAGAAGGAACAGGAGGCUAUGAGAAGGAGAAUCUUUUCCCAGGCUAUGAGUCACACUAAGAUCAUUGUCUUCUUUCAUUCAAGAGAAAUUCAGCACUGGUUUCUGAAAUGGGAACAGAGGAAUCAAAUGUCUGUACGUCUCUCAAGGAGAAGGGGACUAUCCAGUCACUGCUUCACAAAAGACAUGUUGCCAUCCAUAUGUAGAAGCCAGUUGCUGGCCCUGAAGAUUUACUAAUGUGGAUGCUGUUCUCUUCAUUGUUCUCCCCUGGGCUGUGAUAUGACAGGAGUGCUGACAACUGCACUGAGUGUUAGCUGAGGAUGUUUUUAAAGGAAGGAAAAACUGGCAAUUGAAACACGGUCAUCAGAAUCCAAAAAUGUGAAGUGCAACGCAAUCUGCCUUAUGUAUAGAGGAAAAAGCACACAGAGCCAAGCACAGAUGACUGAACCAAAACAGACUAACAACACAGAGGAGAAAUCUAGCAGCCAGCUGUACUUGUCUGAGAACCUGGUAUUGAGGAAAUUUCGACCUGAACUUAGAGGCUGAGAUCUUUGAAGUGUACAUCUUCCACUGCAAAAAACUACUUUCCCUUGAAAAAUUAUGCAUUAUCAUCUCCAAUGCUGCUGCUGCAACAUAGAAGAUGGCUCUUGACUUGAUGGCAAAAGACAUUUCAGAGGAACACAGAAGAACGGAUCCACUCCAAAAAAAUCUAAGAUGAUGUAGUCUUGAAGAGACAGGAAAUUAUUUAGAUAAUAUAGCUAUUAUCUUGUAAGUAUUUUCAGUAAGAAUAAAACUCCUGGAUGGAAAGCAAUGAAAUGUAUUUCUUGUCUCCUUUAGCCCUGAUGGACAUUUGUUGGAGAAAAUCAGUAUUCUAAUGAUGGAGCUCAUCAUCCCUGCAGAAUUCAGUGACCAGAAGUACAUCAGUACAAACUGCUGGCCUUAGUCUGCCAGAAAGGAGAUUUUCUGAAGCCAAGAAAUCAGGCCUGGAUGAAUGAAUUUAUAUUCUCCAGUCAAAUCCCACACACAGAAUCCUGUUAAUGCCCUAUCAUCUUACAUCUUGGAACAAGAUAUCCAGAGUGGCUGGGGAAUCUCCAUCUUUGAAAAUUUUAACUCUGGACUAUAAAAUGUCCUAAACAUUCUGGCCUGAACUCAGUAUUGACCAUGUUUUGGGCUACAGGUUGUGCAAGAUGCCUUCCCAAGGUCCAUCCCAGACUGAAAGGUUUUGUGAUUUUACAGCUCUAGUAUCUGCACUAAAAGAAAGACAGACACAUAAGGGUAGUCCAGUAAUUAUCAGAGGAGUGUAGUUCCUGCCAGGAUUUCUACUUUUUAUAGGGCUGUUUUGCUGAUCCUGGCAAGACUGUGGACAAAAAAUAUUGCUAUAAAUAAAAAAAAUUGCUGUGAAUUAACACAAUCAAUCAAUCAAUUAAUCAGUUCCACAGUGAUGAAGAGUAGAAACAAAGAUGAGACAAUAUUUGUGCAAAAUAUAUGUGACAUGUAAAGAACAAAAAAUAUUCAAUCUUCUUACAUCUACCACAAUUUAUAAGUUUACCUAAUCAUAUAUCUGUGAUUGCAAUGCUUGUAAAAUAGCAGCGCUGAAAAUAGCUGGCCCCAGAGGGCUUCCUAGGCUAGUGAUGCCAAAGAAUUAAUUUUCACUGAGAUAUGAAAUUAAGGUUUUGUUCCUAGGUAAAAGGAGAAUAAAAUAAUGUAGUAGUAAAUCUGUAUGAAAGAAACCAGCAUCACAGCAAAGGUUUCUUCCUUAUGAAAAACAAAAUGAGCUAAAACUGUUAUAUCCACUAGUUCCUUGACACAUAAUACACUGUGCAUAUGGUGAAAUGUCAAAGUGCUCUUCCAGACCCACAAAAGAAACAAAGGUACAGAAAAUCCACUUACAACAACAGUAAUACUUUCAGAGGGUUGGUGCUAAUUCUGUCACUCUGUUCAGAGAAAUGUAUCAGCAUUCAGCCACAUUUUCCUUUGAGUUACCAGACAGUUCUUCUAACAGAGAAAAAAUUUAUCUUUGAAUUAAUAGCAUAGUUGUUCUCUUUGCUUAUUUCUCUGAGAUCAGGUUGCAUCAGAAGCUCUAAUUGUUAUAACAUACCUGCUCUGAUAAUAAACAAAACAAGUUAAGGACAGAAAGAAAAUAGAAUUGUGGUCAUGUUAGAAGUGGUCAUGUUAGAAGGCUUGUUGCAUGCUUUCUCUGAGCGCUUGAAAGGCUUUCACAGAUGUAUCACCUUUGGAAUGCUGGAUCUUCUGACCCUACCACUAUAAAAAAAUACUCUCUAUGCAGCUGAGUGAUAAUAGAGAAUUUUGUUAAUGAAUACAAGGUACCAUUUUACUUUUAGGGUCAUGUAAUUUAUUUAUUUCUAGGGAACUUUUUAUUUGAACCCAUAGUCUGCACUUAAUUGUCACUUUGCUAAAGCUAGGAAGAGUAGUAUAUCUACAAGCUGAUAUACUUUGUUUCCAGCAGUCUGAAGCAUACCUUGUUCAUGUACCUAUGAGCUAAGCUUUAUAUUUCUAAAAUCAAUGCUUACUUCUUUGAGAUGCUUUUGACAUUGCUAUGAAGAAUUGCUGAUCUGAAAACACACUGAGAACUGUCUGGUAGGUGAAUGUUAAUUUUGAAAAAUUCUAAGUGCAAAUUUUUGCCUUUAUUGCCACAACAUCUUUAUUUGAUGUUUUCAGAUGCAUAAUAUGGUACACUUUCAUAAAAGAGAAUUUAAUUCUGUAUCAUUGAAUUGUAGAAUAUUAGAAUAAAUAACAGAUCCUUUAGAUCUUACCUGUGAAGAUCAUAUCUCUCUAACUUGGUUAGAUACAUUUUUUCCACUUUUGAUGAUAAUGAUUUUAUGUGAAAAUCAUUCAUUAUGGGAAAAUCUUCCAUUGUUUUCUGACGUUUUUAUAUCAACAUUGAUCAGAUUAUUUGAAAAAUAGAACCUAGUUUGCUUAGAAAUAGUGGGGUGAAAGAUUCACAAGGACUGUUACUGUGAUAUUUUUUCUAUGACUGUUGUAGUUCAGUCAUGUACCCCAGCACCUUACUGCAUGCUAGAAAGCCAUUAAUUUCAUAAACUGUCUUUUCAAAACAGUCUUUGCUGCCUUUUGUUUAUUAACUAUGGCACAUGCUUUGCCUGCACUUGGCCCAUCCACCUCAAAGAAACUCUGUCUUAAGUCAGAAGAAAGACAGAGGAGCUAAGCCACUUGUUAUGGUGUCUCAGUUUUCCCAGCAUCUGAAUUUGCUGUAUUUAAGUCAAGGAAUGCUUGCUGGUAACCAUUAUUCUGUUACCUUGAAUUGUGGUUGACAAAGCAAAACCUGAGCACGUACAACUACCCAUUUGUCAUAUUCAGAAUGAUACCUUAACAUUUAGCUUUCAUGUUUUCCAGACUCUGUACUGCAUUAGUGCGUAACUCUGAACUUCAUAUAAAGUGCUGGCAAGUUCUCUUCACAUUUUAGUUGGACAAAAUAAUCUUUUUCCAGCUUGAGAACCAAGGACACCAUUGCAGCUUCAGGGCCAAAAAGUAUAAAGAGCAAACUGAGGAGAACAAUCUAGGAGGACAGGAUUUCAUAACCUGAAGCUGUAAUUGGACAAUUAACCCCAAUAUGGAAAUGGAUUAAACUUAUACAAGUGUGAAAACUCAUAGCAUUUCAUCCAUCUUAGGUGUUUCAUCGGCCAGGCUCUUGUACUGCUCAAAGUGUAGCCUUUUUAAUAAACACCUACUUUAUUCCUUUAAAACUGCCUAGCCUCUGUUCUAGGUAGCCUCUCAAGGCAUUAAGAAGAUAUUUUUUAGAAAAUAAAUGAGUGAAUGUAAAGGGUUAUUGCAUAUAAAGUAAACAAAGAUUAGAUCAGAAGGUCUGUUUUAACAUCAGCCUGCUAACAACGUUUUUCAUGUUUUAACAAAGAAGAGCAUCCUAACCAAAGAUAUUCUUAAAACCAAACUUUUUGCUUGGUUUUUAGGAGACCUAAGACCCAUUGAAUCUUUCUUUCUGAAUUUCUAUUGAAAUUCACUGUUUUAUUUGGAGUCUGUUUUUUAAUUAGCAUAAGGCUUUUUUCUUCCUUUAUUAAUGAAAAUUGUUUUCUUCCCAGCACACCCCUACAUGUACUUCAGCAGUUAUUACUUUUGUUUAUACAGAGUGUAAGGCUUCCCACUAUCUGUAGUGUCAAUUUGACAUUCUUCAGUCUAGCAUGUGGCUGUUGUGAACCCACUACAAAAAUCUGUACAGUAAAGUAAAGCAUAAUUCAACCUGCUAAACAAGCUUAUUUGAUAUAGUUUGUGAUUUGUUGCUGACUGAGAUCCUACCUGUUGACAGACAAAUAUUUUGGAUGACAACUCAAAUGGCAUGGUUUUCACCCAAACUAUUUUUUAAAUAUCCAACUUUAUUCUGCUAGAAUGUAAAGGUACACUAAGGAGAAAUACAUCUGGACCCUGGUUUUUCAAACACAGUAAUUGACUUAGGGUUUUUACUAACCUGUUAUUAAUGUCUUCACACCGGCAGACUCUUCAGCUGCAGGCACCAAAGUACAACAAUUUGUUAUCUAAGAAGUAAAUUAGGAAGUUUGAUUCUUUAGACAUUAUCUGGAGUAAAUAGAUGCACAACAGGAAAGAUCACUAAGGGCCACAUUGCUGUAAAACUACAUCCUUAUGGAAUAAAGGGCACUUAGAGUCUACAAAAGUAUCAACAUCUGGUGCGCAACAUGAAGUGGAAGAGGUGGAUCAUUUGGCUUUGCAUUGUGAACUGCCCUGGCAGCCUUUGGAAAAAUAAUAGAGAUGUUACUAAAAUGACUUGUGGCAAGGGGCCAAAUGGUGAUAUUUUUCACACAGCUGGACCUACCACUUAACCCAAUGAAGUUCUCAUGAAUUUCAGUACGGGGCAUGAAUCUAUCUAUUUAUUAUAUCUCCAUUUUAAUAAACUGUCUGACCUUGUACUUUCUAAGCUUUGAAUAAAAUCUAUUUGAUUCACUGAAAAGCUAAGCUUGCUACAGACAUCUUGUGAAGUUUGGUAUUAUUUUCAAUGCUGUCUUCAUUUUGCCUCAUAUAAUGGUCCUAUUCUUCACCAUUCAUGAAUUAUGUAGGUCAGUACAUACACAUGCCAGGAAAACCUUUCUAGCACCCCAUACAAUCAUAUAUUUUGUAUAUGUAAUGACAUAGUUAUUGUGAUUCUUUUAGAAAUAUUUCAGGGAAAUGCUAGAAUGUUAAAAUGACUAUUUUUGUUUGUCUCCUUCUCUAUUGUCAAGUGAAUUAGUUCUCGUGAAUGCCACUGUGCAUAGAUAGAGAAGGAAUAAAUUAAAAUACAGGGAAAGGUGUGAAACUAGAUGCUUGGCCAAAAGCAGCUUUGCUAUACAUGAAACAUGUUGCUGUGUUUUGGUUAUGGUUUGGUUUUGCAGGUUUAUGGGUUUGUACAUUCAAGGCUAGGAAUUAUUGUUCAUUGUAAAGAUAUAAAUGGAAAAGUUAUUAGAAAUCUUCCUGUGCAAUGAUAAAUAA